rnacentral:rRNA from 1 species
CGGCGGACGGGUGAGUAACACGUUGAUAACCUACCUAUAAGACUGGGAUAACUUCGGGAAACCGGAGCUAAUACCGGAUAAUAUAUUGAACCGCAUGGUUCAAUAGUGAAAGACGGUUUUGCUGUCACUUAUAGAUGGAUCCGCGCCGCAUUAGCUAGUUGGUAAGGUAACGGCUUACCAAGGCAACGAUGCGUAGCCGACCUGAGAGGGUGAUCGGCCACACUGGAACUGAGACACGGUCCAGACUCCUACGGGAGGCAGCAGAC